rnacentral:rRNA from 1 species
GAUGAACGCUGGCGGCGUGCCUAAUACAUGCAAGUCGAGCGAACAGACGAGGAGCUUGCUCCUCUGACGUUAGCGGCGGACGGGUGAGUAACACGUGGAUAACCUACCUAUAAGACUGGGAUAACUUCGGGAAACCGGAGCUAAUACCGGAUAAUAUAUUGAACCGCAUGGUUCAAUAGUGAAAGACGGUUUUGCUGUCACUUAUAGAUGGAUCCGCGCCGCAUUAGCUAGUUGGUAAGGUAACGGCUUACCAAGGCGACGAUGCGUAGCCGACCUGAGAGGGUGCUCGCCCCCCCUGAACCUGAGCCCCGGCCCAGCCCCCACGGGGGGGCAGAGGUAGGGACUCUUCCGCAAGGGGCGAAACCCUGACGGGGCAACGCCGCGGGAGUGAUGAAGGUCUUCGGCUCGAAAAACUCUGUUAUUGGGGAAAAAAAAAUUUGAAAGUAACUAUGCCCGUCUUGACGGUACCUAACCAGAAAGCCCCGGCUAACUCCGU